rnacentral:rRNA from 1 species
CCUACGGGAGGCUGCAGUCGAGAAUCAUUCACAAUGGUGGAAACACUGAUGGUGCGACGCCGCGUGGGGGAAUGAAGGUCAUAGGAUCGUAAACCUCUGUUAUGUGGGAGCAAAUUAAAAAGAUAGUACCACAAGAGGAAGAGACGGAUAACUCUGUGCCAGGAGCCGCGGUAAUACAGAGGUCUUAAGCGUUGUUCGGAAUCACUGGGCCUAACGGGUGCGUAGGCUGGUUCGUGAGUCGUGUGUGAAAGGCGCGGGCUCAAACCGCGGACGGCACAUGAUACUGCGAGACUAGAGUAAGGGAGAGGGAACCGGAAUUCGCGGUGUAGCGGUGAAAUGCGUAGAUAUCGAGAGGAACACUCGUGGCGAAGGCGGGUUCCUGGACAUUAACUGACGCUGAGGCACGAAGGCCAGGGGAGCGAAAGGGAUUAGAUACCCUUGUAGUC